rnacentral:rRNA from 1 species
UACACACCGCCCGUCACACCACGAAAGUGGUUAUAACCAGAAGCAGGUGAGCUAACGCAAGAGGCAGCCUACCAAGGUUGUAGCCGUGAUUGGGGUG